GUUUUUAACCGAUCUUAUAGUCUACUUUAUAUUCAUCCGAUAAGUUCUUUCAUGUGAUCGUUUCCCGAAUAUGUUUAUAAUCUUGGCGAUUUUUUUUUUAUCUAAUUGUCUCUAUACAUGUCUGACCUACUCUAACCGGUUGACGCAUGAUAUAUUUUUGAUAUUUUGUUUAUUGCAUUUUGUUGUUGUUAUUGUAUUUAUAUUUAUUAGCUUUCCCACAUCAAUAUAUUUCUUAUUUCAUACUUGCGUUCCUGUUAUAGUUUAGUAGUUGCGUUUCUAGUGUUCGGAACGUUUACCAAAAAAAUGAAUUCGUUCACGUUCGUGU